CAUGGAACAAGCAUACUCUCAACAGAUCUUUGAAACGCUCAUAGGCGUCAAAGAGAGACUCCCCUUCCUCUUGUCUAAAAUUAUUAAUUUCACUUCUCACUUG